AGCAGUAGGGAAUCUUCGGCAAUGGACGAAAGUCUGACCGAGCAACGCCGCGUGAGUGAAGAAGGUUUUCGGAUCGUAAAACUCUGUUGGUAGAGAAGAACGUUGGUGAGAGUGGAAAGCUCAUCAAGUGACGGUAACUACCCAGAAAGGGGCGGCUAACUACGUGCCAG
rnacentral:rRNA from 1 species